rnacentral:rRNA from 1 species
CACUCCUGCGGGAGGCAGCAGUGGGGAAUUUUGGACAAUGGGCGAAAGCCUGAUCCAGCCAUGCCGCGUGCAGGAUGAAGGCCUUCGGGUUGUAAACUGCUUUUGUACGGAACGAAACGGCCUUUUCUAAUAAAGAGGGCUAAUGACGGUACCGUAAGAAUAAGCACCGGCUAACUACGUGCCAGCAGCCGCGGUAAUACGUAGGGUGCAAGCGUUAAUCGGAAUUACUGGGCGUAAAGCGUGCGCAGGCGGUUAUGUAAGACAGUUGUGAAAUCCCCGGGCUCAACCUGGGAACUGCAUCUGUGACUGCAUAGCUAGAGUACGGUAGAGGGGGAUGGAAUUCCGCGUGUAGCAGUGAAAUGCGUAGAUAUGCGGAGGAACACCGAUGGCGAAGGCAAUCCCCUGGACCUGUACUGACGCUCAUGCACGAAAGCGUGGGGAGCAAACAGGAUUAGAAACCCCAGUAGUCCCAU